UGUAAUAAAGAGAGAGAAGCUCGUGAACUUGUCACCACCAUCCGGAGAGCCACUGUUCAUCGGAAGAGGUGUCUUUCCUCCACUCAGCUAGCCAGUCUCGACGCAGUGCCACCUCAUUGCCGGCUUAAAAGGGCAAACCCUAGACGCCUUUGGUCCGCCGUCGUGUUCUCUCCUCCCAGUCCACCGUGCCGCCGACGUUCGAAGACAAAAUAUUCACAUUUUCUUCAUUCCUCCCAACCACCCAGUACCGUCGGAGUGCCGUCGGAGAUUCACGGCAGUGCCGCUGGAGCACCUUGAUAAAAAGAUUGAACUAAAAACAGCACCAGCGGAUUUUCGUUUUCCUUAUGACAAAUCAAACCAGACACUGUUUCACCCGCUACAUAGAGUUUCAUAGAUGCCUGGCAGCAAAGGGUGAUAACUCUGGUGAAUGUGAGAAUUUGCUAAAUACUACCGCUCCCUUUGCCCGGGUGAAUGGUGAUGGAUUGCACAACAUAUGAAGGUUAUAAAAAUUUGUGAGUGCGGGCAUGGAGCGACACAAAACCUAUAGUCCACAUUAAUGAGAUAUUACAACAAAUUGAUAUGCAACGUAUCGAGAGACUCCAUUCAAGGGGUGUCUUCAUAUGAACAAUCCAAUUCAGUUCUGCAAUCCUCUUUUCAAGGAAAUGCUUAUAGGGGGGGGGGGAAUGAAUGUUUUGUUUGGAAAAGGAUGGAAGCAAUUUUGCAUCGAAUAUGGCCUGAAGAAGGGAGAUGUUCUCGUGUUCGAGGUUAACAAUCAACGAGAUAAAUUACUAAUUGAAGUUUAUAUUAAUGGAUGUCUGUGUAAUGUUAUAGAUCUAAUUUCAGUCUAAACCACAAACUACAUCAUCAAUUUCAGCUCAUGUAUUUCAAUAUUUAUGUUUGAAUGGAAAUCAAAUGAUUACUUCUUUGUCUCAAUU